rnacentral:sRNA from 1 species
AAGAUAGAAAUGGUGAAGCACAGAGUUGGCAGAGGAAGUGUCUAAGGGAAGUAAGUAUUGUAUCUUAGAACGACCGUGAGGACGGCGCGGGGGAACCCAGCUGGUAAGUUCUAGAUAUUAGUACAGAUUCCUUUGGUUUUCUUUCUUUGUCAUUUUCUGUGUUUCGUCUCUUUCAAUUUCAAA